UGGGGUGGCGGCAGUCUACCAUGCAAGUCGAGCGGUAACACAGAGAGCUUGCUCUCGGGUGACGAGCGGCGGACGGGUGAGUAAUGUCUGGGAAACUGCCUGAUGGAGGGGGAUAACUACUGGAAACGGUAGCUAAUACCGCAUAACGUCGCAAGACCAAAGUGGGGGACCUUCGGGCCUCAUGCCAUCAGAUGUGCCCAGAUGGGAUUAGCUAGUAGGUGGGGUAAUGGCUCACCUAGGCGACGCCCUAGCUGGUCUGAGAGGAUGACCAGCCACACUGGAACUGAGACACGGUCCAGACUCCUACGGGAGGCAGCAGUGGGGAAUAUUGCACAAUGGGCGCAAGCCUGAUGCAGCCAUGCCGCGUGUAUGAAGAAGGCCUUCGGGUUGUAAAGUACUUUCAGCGAGGAGGAAGGCGUUAAGGUUAAUAACCUUGGCGAUUGACGUUACUCGCAGAAGAAGCACCGGCAUUAACUCCGUGCCAGCAGCCGCGGUAAUACGGAGGGUGCAAGCGUUAAUCGGAAUUACUGGGCGUAAAGCGCACGCAGGCGGUCUGUCAAGUCGGAUGUGAAAUCCCCGGGCUCAACCUGGGAACUGCAUUCGAAACUGGCAGGCUAGAGUCUUGUAGAGGGGUAGAAUUCCAGGUGUAGCGGUGAAAUGCGUAGAGAUCUGGAGGAAUACCGGUGGCGAAGGCGGCCCCCUGGACAAAGACUGACGCUCAGGUGCGAAAGCGUGGGGAGCAAACAGGAUUAGAUACCCUGGUAGUCCACGCCGUAAACGAUGUCGACUUGGAGGUUGUGCCCUUGAGGCGUGGCUUCCGGAGCUAACGCGUUAAGUCGACCGCCUGGGGAGUACGGCCGCAAGGUUAAAACUCAGGAUGAAUUGACGGGGCCCGCACAAGCGGUGAGCAUGUGGUUUAAUUUCGAUGCAACGCGAGACCUUACCUACUCUGACAUCAGAGACUAGCAGAGAUGCUUUGGUGCCUCGGGACUCUGAGACAGGUGCUGCAUGCUGUCGUCAGCUCUGUGUGAAUGUGGUAGUUCCGCAACGAGCGCAACCCUUAUCAUGGUGGCAGCCGAUUCAGGCCUGUAACUCAAGGAACUGGCGAAUGAUACCUGAGAGUGGAUAGGCUCAGUCACUGUGCUACGAGUGAGGCUACCACACGUGGCUA
rnacentral:rRNA from 1 species